UACGUAGGGCGCAAGCGUUAUCCGGAAUUAUUGGGCGUAAAAGAGCUCGUAGGCGGUUUUGUCGCGUCUGCCCGUGAAAAGUCCGGGGGCUCAACUCCGGAUCUGCGGUGGGUACGGGCAGACUAGAGUGAUGUAGGGGGAGAUGGAAUUCCUGGUGUAGCGGUGAAAAUGCGCAGAUAUCAGGAGGAACACCGGUGGCGAAGGCGGGGUCUCUGGGCCGGAAACUGACGCUGAGGGAGCGAAAAGCGUGGGGGAGCGAA
rnacentral:rRNA from 1 species